GGGGAAUAUUGCACAAUGGGGGAAACCCUGAUGCAGCGACGCCGCGUGGAGGAAGAAGGUCUUCGGAUUGUAAACUCCUGUUGUUGAGGAAGAUAAUGACGGUACUCAACAAGGAAGUGACGGCUAACUACGUGCCAGCAGCCGCGGUAAAACGUAGGUCACAAGCGUUGUCCGGAAUUACUGGGUGUAAAGGGAGCGCAGGCGGGAAGACAAGUUGGAAGUGAAAUCCAUGGGCUCAACCCAUGAACUGCUUUCAAAACUGUUUUUCUUGAGUAGUGCAGAGGUAGGCGGAAUUCCCGGUGUAGCGGUGGAAUGCGUAGAUAUCGGGAGGAACACCAGUGGCGAAGGCGGCCUACUGGGCACCAACUGACGCUGAGGCUCGAAAGUGUGGGUAGCAAACAGGAUUAGAUACCCUGGUAGUCCACACUGUAAACGAUGAUUACUAGGUGUUGGAGGAUUGACCCCUUCAGUGCCGCAGUUAACACAAUAAGUAAUCCACCUGGGGAGUACGACCGCAAGGUUGAAACUCAAAGGAAUUGACGGGGGCCCGCACAAGCAGUGGAGUAUGUGGUUUAAUUCGACGCAACGCGAAGAACCUUACCAAGUCUUGACAUCCCUUGACGAUGCUGGAAACAGUAUUUCUCUUCGGAGCAAGGAGACAGGUGGUGCAUGGUUGUCGUCAGCUCGUGUCGUGAGAUGUUGGGUUAAGUCCCGCAACGAGCGCAACCCUUAUGGUCAGUUACUACGCAAGAGGACUCUGGCCAGACUGCCGUUGACAAAACGGAGGAAGGUGGGGAUGACGUCAAAUCAUCAUGCCCUUUAUGACUUGGGCUACACACGUACUACAAUGGCGUUAAACAAAGAGAAGCAAGACCGCGAGGUGGAGCAAAACUCAGAAACAACGUCCCAGUUCGGACUGCAGGCUGCAACUCGCCUGCACGAAGUCGGAAUUGCUAGUAAUCGCAGAUCAGCAUGCUGCGGUGAAUACGUUCCCG
rnacentral:rRNA from 1 species